rnacentral:rRNA from 1 species
AGGCAGCAGUGGGGAAUAUUGCACAAUGGGGGAAACCCUGAUGCAGCCAUGCCGCGUGUGUGAAGAAGGCCUUCGGGUGUAAAGCACUUUCAGUAGGGAGGAAGGUAGUGUAGUUAACACCUGCACUAUUUGACGUUACCUACAGAAGAAGCACCGGCUAACUCCGUGCCAGCAGCCGCGGUAAUACGGAGGGUGCGAGCGUUAAUCGGAAUUACUGGGCGUAAAGCGCAUGCAGGCGGCCUGUUAAGUCAGAUGUGAAAGCCCGGGGCUUAACCUCGGAAUUGCAUUUGAAACUGGCAGGCUAGAGUCUUGUAGAGGGGGGGUAGGAAUUUCAGGUGUAGCGGUGAAAUGCGUAGAGAUCUGAAGGAAUACCAGUGGCGAAGGCGGCCCCCUGGACAAAGACUGACGCUCAGAUGCGAAAGCGUGGGGAGCAAACAGGAUUAGAUACCCCUGGUAG